rnacentral:rRNA from 1 species
UCCCUACGGGGGGCUGCAGUGGGGAAUCUUGCACAAUGGGCGACAGCCUGAUGCAGCAAUGCCGCGUGAGGGAAGACGGCCUUCGGGUUGUAAACCUCUUUCAGUUGGGAAGAAGGUCGGACGGUGAAUAGCCGCGUCGACUGACGGUACCUUCAGAAGAAGCCCCGGCUAACUACGUGCCAGCAGCCGCGGUAAUACGUAGGGGGCAAGCGUUGUCCGGAAUCAUUGGGCGUAAAGCGCGUGUAGGCGGUUACGUAAGUCUGCUGUGAAAGUCGGAGGCUCAACCUUCGAAAGCCGGUGGAUACUGCGUGACUAGAGUCCGGAAGAGGAGAGUGGAAUUCCUGGUGUAGCGGUGAAAUGCGCAGAUAUCAGGAGGAACACCAACGGCGAAGGCAGCUCUCUGGGACGGUACUGACGCUGAGACGCGAAAGCGUGGGGAGCAAACAGGAUUAGAUACCCGGGUAGUCCAA